GCUAGUGUAGCUUAUCUAAAGCGUUGCACUGAAAAUGCCAAGAUAGAAAGUAAUAAAUCUCACAAGCA
rnacentral:tRNA from 1 species